AUAUAAAUCAAACAUUUAAAAUGUCAUACAGUAUAAUUUUUUUUUCAUUAUUUAUAAUAGUUUAGAUUAUAUAGCUAUUAUAAGAUAUAUUGUUAAAGGUAUCAAUGAUAUACAUGUGGCAUUGAAGUUGUUAGAAGCUGAUAUUUUACAUUUUAAAUAUGUUUCUUUUGUCUGAUUUUUUUUUGUGUUUGAUUAUGAAACCCCAUCUACUAUCAUAUUAAAACAGUUUACAAAAAGUGAUGUUACUAGAACUUAUAUUUUACUUAUGUAAAGCUUUCUAAUAUUCCAUCAUUCCGAAGCAGAGGGACAUUAUUCUUGGUUUAAUUAUUUUUUAAUUUAAUAUCUCUGGAUAUUUUUCAUAUUUAGUUUGUGUACAACAGUUAACAACUUUAAGCUUAUACAUUAACUUUAGUUAUAACUUAAUUAAUAAUGAUUUGAUUUAUAGAUUUUUAAAGCAACACAAGAUUGAAUUUAGCAUAAGGAUAAAUUUCUGCUCUGGAGACAAAAAAAGAAAGACAGCGAAAAUGACCAGUCAAAAUAAAGAUUGAAGAGACAAAAAAUUGUGUAUAUGUUGGUGUAGAUGAUUUAUCCUCAUUUUCUUAUAAUAAAACAAAAAAUAUUAUUAAACUUUGGAAAAAUAUUAUUAAACCUAGGGAUUUACCUGUAACUCCAAAAUCUUUACAGAAGUUUAAUGUUUGCUCUGAGAAGUUGAAUGAACAAAUUUAUUAAAUGUGUUCAUUCUUAGUCGUCAUUGAAGUACAACUUGGUAAACUACAAAACACACCAAAUUCAGUUAUUAAAAUUUGAGUAACAAAGGUAUACUAAUUAUUGUAUUGCCUGAAAGAGUGUCAUUGCUAUUAAAAGCAGUGAAGAAUUCAAGUACUCUGGAAGAAAAGAAAAUAAGUAAGUAAAUGGUCAAUUAUUUGGCACAAAUCGGAGUUAAAGACAAAGGAGAUUGUAUAUUUUAUUUGCUAAGAAUAGUUUUUUAAAAUGGCCUAGUUGUAAAAUUAAACAAUGCAGGGAGAGGACAAAAAACUGGAAUAGAAAAAUGUUGAUUACAUAUGCUGCUAUUGAAACUGUGAAGUCAAAUAAGCAUGGCUUAUGCAGACUUGUGAUAGAGAUAGAGGAA